AACAGAAGGGCUGGGUCCAAGUCUGAAUAUUGACAUAUUUGAGCAGGUGGAGAAGGAGGGAGGAAGUUAGGGGAAGCUUUGUAAACAAGAAUGCAAAGUAGCAUGCAAGAAUAGAAAUGCAUUCUACUGGGUGUGCAUUCUUUACGUCAUGAAGGACACAAUCUAACAGAAUGCAAAAAUAGAAGCAAGUACAGGUAGAGCAUGGUGGCUCACGCCUACAAUCCCAGCACUUUGGGAAGCCGAGGUGGGAGGAUGGCUUGAAAGUUCGAGACCAGCCUGGGCAACAAAGUGAGAGUCCGUCUCUACACAAAAGCAAAAAGUUAGCCAGAUGUGAUGGCAUAUGCCUUUGGACCUGUGGUCCCAGCUACAUAAGAGACUGAGGCAGAAGGAUCACUUGAGCCCAGAAGUUUGAGACCAGCCUGUGCAACAGAGUGAGGGCCCAUCUCAAAAAAAAAAAAAAAGAAGGAAAGAAGGAGGGAAGGAAGGGAGAGAGAGAAAGAAAAAGAGAGAGAAAGAAAGAAAGAAAAUAAAGAAAGAAAAGAAAAGGAAAGAAAAGAAAAGAAAAGGUAAGUAUAGUGCCUGGUGUCCAGUGGAACCAGCGAGAUGAUGGGCUGGACUAGAACUUAUGACAGAAGUUCACAGGUGUGGAGGAUAAAUGGGAAAGACAGCUAUGAAAAGCCUUGAUGAGCAAGGAGAGUUCUUCUAAUUGAACCCAAGGAUACAGGACAGCCACCGUGGGUCCCUUGGCAGUGGCUUGGAUAUCAUGAAGGAUACAGAUGAACAGCCAGAUGGAGGAGACACACAGGGCA
rnacentral:lncRNA from 1 species